UGGCGGACGGGUGAGUAACGCGUGGGAACGUACCUUUUGGUUCGGAACAACACAGGGAAACUUGUGCUAAUACCGGAUAAGCCCUUACGGGGAAAGAUUUAUCGCCGAAAGAUCGGCCCGCGUCUGAUUAGCUAGUUGGUGAGGUAACGGCUCACCAAGGCGACGAUCAGUAGCUGGUCUGAGAGGAUGAUCAGCCACAUUGGGACUGAGACACGGCCCAAACUCCUACGGGAGGCAGCAGUGGGGAAUAUUGGACAAUGGGCGCAAGCCUGAUCCAGCCAUGCCGCGUGAGUGAUGAAGGCCCUAGGGUUGUAAAGCUCUUUUGUGCGGGAAGAUAAUGACGGUACCGCAAGAAUAAGCCCCGGCUAACUUCGUGCCAGCAGCCGCGGUAAU
rnacentral:rRNA from 1 species